rnacentral:rRNA from 1 species
AAUGAACGUUGGCGGCGUGGAUUAGGCAUGCAAGUCGUGCGAGAACCGUAGCAAUACGGGGACAGCGGCGAAAGGGAGAGUAACGCGUGGAUACCUACCCCCAGGACCAGGAUAGCCGCGGGAAACUGCGGGUAAUACUGGAUAAUGUCUCCGGACCAAAGGUGUGAUUCCGCCCGGGGAUGGGUCCGCGUCCUAUUAGCUAGUUGGUAGGGUAAUGGCCUACCAAGGCAAAGAUGGGUAUGGGGUGUGAGAGCAUGCCCUCACUCACUGGGACUGAGACACUGCCCAGACACCUACGGGUGGCUGCAGUCGAGGAUCUUCGGCAAUGGGCGCAAGCCUGACCGAGCGACGCCGCGUGCGGGAUGAAGGCCUUCGGGUUGUAAACCGCUGUCAGAGGGGAGGAAAUGCCGUGGGGUUCUCUCCACGGUUUGACCUAUCCUCAGAGGAAGGACGGGCUAAGUUCGUGCCAGCAGCCGCAGUAAAAC